rnacentral:misc_RNA from 1 species
GAAAUAUAUCGCCUCAGACCGACCAAUAAUGAAUUCCGAUCGAUCAGUCAUUGCAACACUAGUUACACUAGAUCCAAUCUGAUCAAGAGUCUGCCGGGUUGGUGCUUGAGUAUGCAUGUUGAACAAGUUCACUGUAUUUGGGGUAACAGCAAACAGCUGAAGCACCUGACCAUCCACUCUGAAUCCCAGACCCGUGACGGAGGAUUGGCUUUUGUCUGAAUGAUUAUCCACCUGAAGCUUAAAGCGCUUGAUACGUUCACGGGCUAUAUCUCCUUGAAUGCAAUAGAUGGAACCAUUGUCCAGCCCUAUAACUAUGAGUAAUAAUGGCGGAGCCUCUUCCAGCACCAAAAACGAUGUGAUCUUUGCUUCAGGGAACUGGUUGGUGAACAC